UUAAGUUGUCGUCCAACGACGACGACAUCGUCUUCUCACUAUCUUUUCGCUUGCCUUUCUUUCAACUACUCUCCAGGGCGUCAUCAUCUUAGCUUUCAGUUAAAGCUCUUUCUUUUCCUUUUUUUCAAAUUUCCUAUUGUAAAUCCAGCUCCAUCAUUCUUUGUUGUUUCUUCGUUCUCGCAUGCCUCUCUCAACAACUCUUUCUCUCUCUUCAUUUUUCCAAAUAAAGCGUAUGUAUAUGAAUCUCACUAAUCAGCCGAGAGUUGAUUGCUGCACGCUCUAAGCCCCUGGACAGGCCCUGUGGACAGCUUCGGGUCUACUCCUGCCGGGAUAAUAUUCACGCGUGGUGAAAUAUUUGAAGAGCCUCCCGUGCUGCCUCAAUUCCAAAGCGCCUCACCAUUAGCUUGAUGGAAACACGACCAUGAUUGCGAUGGGCGUAGUCCCGAGCAAUAUACAUAUAUAUACAA